rnacentral:rRNA from 1 species
UACGUAGGGCGCAAGCGUUGUCCGGAUUUAUUGGGCGUAAAGAGCUCGUAGGCGGUUUGUCGCGUCUUCCGUGAAAACUGGGGGCUUAACUUCCAGCUUGCGGUGGAUACGGGCUGACUGGAGUGCGGCAGGGGAGACUGGAAUUCCAGGUGUAGCGGUGAAAUGCGUAGAUAUCUGGAGGAACACCGGUGGCGAAGGCGGCAUCCUGGACCGGCACUGACACUGAGGAGCGAAAGCCAGGGGAGCAAACGGG